GUCAGGAUGGCCGAGUGGUCUAAGGCGCCAGACUCAAGUCAUUGCUUUCCCUGCCCGGGGAUUUCUGGUCUCCGAAUGGAGGCGUGGGUUCAAAUCCCACUUCUGACA
rfam:Haliaeetus albicilla contig25496, whole genome shotgun sequence.